GACAGAGGCCUCAAGCGUUAGGCGGAAUCACUGGGCUUAAAGCGUGUGUAGGCGGACUUCUAAGUGCCUUGUGAAAUCCCACGGCUCAACCGUGGAACUGCUGGGCAUACUGGGGAGUCUUGGGCCAUUCAGGGGCAACUGGAACAAGCGGUGGAGCGGUGAAAUGCGUAGAUAUCGCUUGGAACGCCGAAGGUGAAAACAGGUUGCUGGGGGAUGUGCCGACACUGAGACACGGAAAGCCAGGGGAGCAAACGGG
rnacentral:rRNA from 1 species